rnacentral:lncRNA from 1 species
GAUAAAGAUACUUAAAUCUUGCUGUUUUGGUGAAUUAUACCCAUGGUACAACAAAAUAACUACCCAGGUAAAGACUUAUGGAGCUUUGCCAACUGUUGGCUUCUCUUCUUUAGUGAUUAACAAGUCACGAAGGGGUUCUUUCUCUCAGCCUUCCAAAUCAGAGUUAAUGAACAUAUAUUAAAAAAGAAGACAACUCUUCAGACACGCACAGGCCCCUUCAUCAUAGCCUCCAAUUCUACUUGUCUAGCAGAAGUGAUUCAUUUUGUUUCUGAGUGGUGUUUUCUUAUUUUGAGCAUCCAUUUCACCAUCCAAAAACACCCUGUCAAAUCAGCCUUAGACACUGCCUAUUAAAUGUUAAACUUCACCUGAUAGAAUAUAAUUAUAGCAUGCCUGGCAUUUUAACAUAGAACACACACGCUUCAAGCCAAUUUUGCUAGAGUUAAGAUAAUUUCUUUGGAUGUGUGAAUGCAUGACGAAGCUGUAAGGAAAUAUCAAUAUGUCAAACUCUAAUAUAGUUGAGAAAGUUAAUCCAAAAAAAACCAGAGUAUGGAUUAAAUGAAUAAAAAUGGACACAAAGGCCAACAAUUACUGGGUGAGCUCACCAAAUUAUGCAAUUAAAUGGUUUCUUAAAGGAGCAUCCAUUGAUAGACUGUUUCAAAUUUUAUGAGCCAAUUUUUUUUUUUUUUUUUUUUUUUUUUUAGGUUCACUGGGGCUGUGGCUCGUUACCUGAAAAGCUCUCAAGAAUAACAAAUAUUGUCACAUGGCGGAACAAUUGAGUCACAGUUUCUGGAGAAACGAAUGUGCAAUGCUGAAGGUUAGCCACUCUUCCAAGAGAAGCCAGAGCGUUAGGAUCCUCUAUAUGUCCAUCAUUGGAUACUAUAUCUGACACAUGAAUUCCACGGAGCACUGGAGAUUUAUAUCUAUUACCAAGAAUUCUGUCUACGCAAAGCUGAAUUUAAAAAGAAUUGAGGUUCCAAAUGGGGAGAAGCCUUCCUGUGAGCACUACGCAUGUGUCUGCUCACUCUAAGCUUGCUGCAGAACAUCUGCUUGUUCCUUUGGCUUCUUUGGGAAAUCAUCAGUGGUCUGAUUUUCAUGGCUUUUAAGUUAAGAUCCACGUGAUUUUCCUUAUCUCCAAAAAUUCUGGCCCAGCACUAAA